GCCAGUUGCUGUGGCGCGUGUCUGUGAUCCCAGCGACUUGGGAGGCUGAGGCAGGAGGAUCACUGGUUCAAGGCCAGCUUCAGCAACUUAGUGAGACCUUGUCUCAA
rnacentral:sRNA from 1 species